GUAGGUGGCAAGCUUGUCCGGAAUUAUUGGGGCGUAAAGCGCGCGCAGGCGGUUCUUUAAGUCUGAUGUGAAAGCCCAGGGCUCAACCGUGGAGGGUCAUUGGAAACUGGAGAACUUGAGUACAGAAGAGGAAAGCGGAAUUCCACGUGUAGCGGUGAAAUGCGUAGAGAUGUGGAGGAACACCAGUGGCGAAGGCGGCUUUCUGGUCUGUAACUGACGCUGAGGCGCGAAAGCGUGGGGAGCAAACAGGAUUAGAUACCCUGGUAGUCCACGCCGUAAACGAUGAGUGCUAAGUGUUAGGGGGUUUCCGCCCCUUAGUGCUGCAGCUAACGCAUUAAGCACUCCGCCUGGGGAGUACGGCCGCAAAGGCUG
rnacentral:rRNA from 1 species